rnacentral:rRNA from 1 species
UACGUAGGCAGCAAGCGUUGUUCGGAGUUACUGGGCGUAAAGGGUGCGUAGGCGGCCUUAUAAGUAUGGUGUGAAAUCUCCCGGCUUAACUGGGAGGGUGCGCUAUAGACUGUGGGGCUAGAGUGUGGGAGAGGAAAGUGGAAUUCCUGGUGUAGCGGUGAAAUGCGCAGAUAUCAGGAGGAACACCGGUGGCGAAGGCGGGUCUCUGGGCCGAAACUGACGCUGAGGAGCGAAAGCGUGGGGAGCAAACAGG